GAUGAACGCUGGCGGCGUGCCUAAUACAUGCAAGUCGAGCGAAUGGAUUAAGAGCUUGCUCUUAUGAAGUUAGCGGCGGACGGGUGAGUAACACGUGGGUAACCUGCCCAUAAGACUGGGAUAACUCCGGGAAACCGGGGCUAAUACCGGAUAACAUUUUGAACCGCAUGGUUCGAAAUUGAAAGGCGGCUCCGGCUGUCACUGAGGGAUGGACCCGCGUCGCAUUAGCCAGUUGGUGAGGUAACGGCUCACCAAGGCAACGAUGCGUAGCCGACCUGAGAGGGUGAUCGGCCACACUGGGACGGAGACACGGCCCAGACUCCUACGGGAGGCAGCAGUAGGGAAUCUUCCGCAAUGGACGAAAGUCUGACGGAGCAACGCCGCGUGAGUGAUGAAGGCUUUCGGGUCGUAAAACUCUGUUGUUAGGGAAGAACAAGUGCUAGUUGAAUAAGCUGGCACCUUGACGGUACCUAACCAGAAAGCCACGGCUAACUACGUGCCAGCAGCCGCGGUAA
rnacentral:rRNA from 1 species